rnacentral:rRNA from 1 species
GACGAACGCUGGCGGCGUGCUUAACACAUGCAAGUCGAACGCUGAAGCUCAGCUUUUGUUGGGUGGAUGAGUGGCGAACGGGUGAGUAACACGUGAGUAACCUGCCCCCUUCUUUGGGAUAACGCCCGGAAACGGGUGCUAAUACUGGAUAUUCACUGGUCUUCGCAUGGGGGUUGGUGGAAAGGGUUUUUCUGGUGGGGGAUGGGCUCGCGGCCUAUCAGCUUGUUGGUGGGGUGAUGGCCUACCAAGGCUUUGACGGGUAGCCGGCCUGAGAGGGUGACCGGUCACAUUGGGACUGAGAUACGGCCCAGACUCCUACGGGAGGCAGCAGUGGGGAAUAAUGCACAAUGGGCGCAAGCCUGAUGCAGCGACGCCGCGUGAGGGAUGGAGGCCUUCGGGUUGUGAACCUCUUUCGCUCAUGGUCAAGCCGCAACAAUGGUUGUGGUGAGGGUAGUGGGUAAAGAAGCGCCGGCUAACUACAUG